GGUCAAGCGAAUAAGCGCACACGGUGGAUGCCUUGGCGGUCAGAGGCGAUGAAGGACGUGGCAGCCUGCGAAAAGUAUCGGGGAGCUGGCAACAAGCUUUGAUCCGGUAAUGUCCGAAUGGGGAAACCCACCCGCUUGCGGGUAUCCUGCAGUGAAUACAUAGCUGCUGGAAGCGAACCUGGUGAACUGAAAUAUCUAAGUAACCAGAGGAAAAGAAAUCAACCGAGAUUCCGUAAGUAGCGACGAGCGAACGCGGACUAGCCCUUAAGCUGGAUUGGUUCUAGGAAAACGCUCUGGAAAGAGCGGCCAUAGAAGGUGAUAGCCCUGUAUCUGAAAGGGCCAUUCCAGUGAAGACGAGUAGGGCGGGGCACGUGAAACCCUGUCUGAACAUGGGGGGACCAUCCUCCAAGGCUAAAUACUACUGACCGACCGAUAGUGAACCAGUACCGUGAGGGAAAGGCGAAAAGAACCCCGGAGAGGGGAGUGAAAUAGAACCUGAAACCGUGUGCGUACAAGCAGUAGGAGCUCCGCAAGGAGUGACUGCGUACCUUUUGUAUAAUGGGUCAGCGACUUACUGUUCGUGGCAAGCUUAACCGUAUAGGGGAGGCGAAGGGAAACCGAGUCUGAUAAGGGCGCAUAGUCGCGGGCAGUAGACCCGAAACCGGGUGAUCUAGUCAUGCCCAGGGUGAAGGUGCGGUAACACGCACUGGAGGCCCGAACCCACUCCCGUUGCAAAGGUAGGGGAUGAGGUGUGAUUAGGAGUGAAAAGCUAAUCGAACCCGGAGAUAGCUGGUUCUCCUCGAAAGCUAUUUAGGUAGCGCCUCAUAUGUAUCCUCUCGGGGGUAGAGCACUGUUAUGGCUAGGGGGUCAUCGCGACUUACCAAACCAUUGCAAACUCCGAAUACCGAGACGGACUGUAUGGGAGACACACGGCGGGUGCUAACGUCCGUCGUGAAAAGGGAAACAACCCAGACCCACAGCUAAGGUCCCAAAUUCACUGCUAAGUGGAAAACCAUGUGGAAAGGCACAGACAGCCAGGAGGUUGGCUUAGAAGCAGCCACCCUUUAAAGAAAGCGUAAUAGCUCACUGGUCGAGUCGGUCUGCGGGGAAGAUUUAACGGGGCUAAGCAGUGAACCGAAGCUUGGGGUGCAUAACUUUGUUAUGCGCGGUAGAGGAGCGUUCCGUAAGCCGUUGAAGGUGGAUUGAGAAGUCUGCUGGAGGUAUCGGAAGUGCGAAUGCUGACAUGAGUAACGAUAAUGCGGGUGAAAAACCCGCACGCCGAAAGCCCAAGGUUUCCUUGCGCAACGUUAAUCGGCGCAGGGUGAGUCGGCCCCUAAGGCGAGGACGAAAGUCGUAGUCGAUGGGAAGCAGGUUAAUAUUCCUGCACCUCGCGUAAGUGCGAUGGAGGGACGGAGAAGGUUAGGUGUACCAGGCGUUGGUUGUCCUGGGGAAAGGCGGUAGGUUUGGAUCUUUGGCAAAUCCGGGAUCCUCUAAGACCGAGCACCGAGACGAGCCUUUAAGGCGAAGUCACUGAUACCACGCUUCCAGGAAAAGCUCCUAAGCUUCAGCUUACGCAGACCGUACCGUAAACCGACACAGGUGGGUAGGAUGAGAAUUCUCAGGCGCUUGAGAGAACUCGGGUGAAGGAACUAGGCAACAUGGCACCGUAACUUCGGGAGAAGGUGCACCCUUUUUGGUGGCUCGUGCGAGCUAUAGCUGAAGAGGGUCGCAGUAACCAGGCCGCUGCGACUGUUUAUCAAAAACACAGCACUCUGCAAACACGAAAGUGGACGUAUAGGGUGUGACGCCUGCCCGGUGCUGGAAGGUUAAUUGAUGGGGUCAGCCGCAAGGCGAAGCUCUUGAUCGAAGCCCCAGUAAACGGCGGCCGUAACUAUAACGGUCCUAAGGUAGCGAAAUUCCUUGUCGGGUAAGUUCCGACCUGCACGAAUGGCGUAACGACAGCGGCGCUGUCUCCACCCGAGACUCAGUGAAAUUGAAAUCGCUGUGAAGAUGCAGCGUUCCCGUGGCAAGACGGAAAGACCCCGUGAACCUUUACUAUAGCUUUACACUGAACGUUGAGUUCGUCUGUGUAGGAUAGGUGGGAGGCUAUGAAACCAUGGCGCUAGCUGUGGCGGAGCCAUCCUUGAAAUACCACCCUGUCGUGCUUGACGUUCUAACCUGGGCCCAUUAUCUGGGUCGGGGACCGUGUAUGGUGGGUAGUUUGACUGGGGCGGUCUCCUCCUAAAGAGUAACGGAGGAGCUCGAAGGUACGCUCAGCGCGGUCGGACAUCGCGCACUGUGUGCAAAGGCAUAAGCGUGCUUGACUGCAAGAUCGACGGAUCAAGCAGGUAGGAAACUAGGACUUAGUGAUCCGGUGGUUCUGUAUGGAAGGGCCAUCGCUCAACGGAUAAAAGGUACUCCGGGGAUAACAGGCUGAUACCGCCCAAGAGUUCAUAUCGACGGCGGUGUUUGGCACCUCGAUGUCGGCUCAUCACAUCCUGGGGCUGUAGUCGGUCCCAAGGGUAUGGCUGUUCGCCAUUUAAAGUGGUACGCGAGCUGGGUUCAGAACGUCGUGAGACAGUUCGGUCCCUAUCUGCCAUGGGCGUUGGAGAUUUGAGAGGGGCUGCUCCUAGUACGAGAGGACCGGAGUGGACGAACCUCUGGUGUUCCGGUUGUCACGCCAGUGGCAUUGCCGGGUAGCUAUGUUCGGAAGCGAUAACCGCUGAAAGCAUCUAAGCGGGAAGCGCGCCUCAAGAUGAGAUCUCCCGGGGCACAAGCCCCCUGAAGGAACCAUGUAGACUACGUGGUUGAUAGGUCAGGUGUGUAAGUACAGCAAUGUAUUGAGCUAACUGAUACUAAUGAUCCGUGCGGCUUGACCAU
rnacentral:rRNA from 1 species